rnacentral:rRNA from 1 species
GACGAACGCUGGCGGCGUGCUUAACACAUGCAAGUCGAACGGAAAGGCCCUGCUUUUGUGGGGUGCUCGAGUGGAGAACGGGUGAGUAACACGUGUGUAACCUGCCCUUGACUUUGGGAUAACUUCAGGAAACUGGGGCUAAUACCGGAUAGGAGCUCCUGCUGCGUGGUGGGGUGUGGAAAGUUUCGGCGGUUGGGGAUGGACUCGCGGCUUAUCAGCUUGUUGGUGGGGUAGUGGCUUACCAAGGCGUUGACGGGUAGCCGGCCUGAGAGGGUGACCGGCCACAUUGGGACUGAGACACGGCCCAGACUCCUACGGGAGGCAGCAGUGGGGAAUAUUGCACAAUGGGCGGAAGCCUGAUGCAGCAACGCCGCGUGCGGGAUGACGGCCUUCGGGUUGUAAACCGCUUUCGCCUGUGACGAAGCGUGAGUGACGGUAAUGGGUAAAGAAGCACCGGCUAACUACGUG